rfam:Schistosoma curassoni strain Dakar, Senegal genome assembly, scaffold: SCTD_contig0003345
AUCCAGUUAACGAGUCUCACAUAGGACGAAACCCGCGUACUGGAU